rnacentral:piRNA from 1 species
UGACGUGGACCUGUAUACG